rnacentral:sRNA from 1 species
UACUACGCACAGGUCGACACGACGCUCG